rnacentral:ncRNA from 1 species
AAAGCGGAAUUCGAAAAGCUAAAAGAGUAGGAA